rnacentral:rRNA from 1 species
GGCAGUCAGAGGCGAUGAAGGACGUACUAACUUGCGAUAAGCGCAGAUAAGGCAGUAAGAGCCGUUUGAGUCUGCGAUUUCCGAAUGGGGAAACCCAACUGCACAAGCAGUUACUGUUAACUGAAUACAUAGGUUAACAGAGCAAACCGGGGGAACUGAAACAUCUAAGUACCCCGAGGAGAAGAAAUCAACCGAGAUUCCGGUAGUAGCGGCGAGCGAACCUGGAUUAGCCCUUAAGCACUCGGUGAAGUAGGUGAACAAGCUGGAAAGCUUGGCGAUACAGGGUGAUAGCCCCGUAACCGACGCUUCAUCGAGCGUGAAAUCGAGUAGGGCGGGACACGUGAUAUCCUGUCUGAAUAUGGGGGGACCAUCCUCCAAGGCUAAAUACUCCUGACUGACCGAUAGUGAACCAGUACCGUGAGGGAAAGGCGAAAAGAACCCCUGUGAGGGGAGUGAAAUAGAACCUGAAACCGUGUACGUACAAGCAGUAGGAGCACCUUCGUGGUGUGACUGCGUACCUUUUGUAUAAUGGGUCAGCGACUUAUAUUCAGUGGCAAGGUUAACCGUAUAGGGGAGCCGUAGCGAAAGCGAGUCUUAACUGGGCGCUCAGUCUCUGGAUAUAGACCCGAAACCGGGUGAUCUAGCCAUGGGCAGGUUGAAGGUUGAGUAACAUCAACUGGAGGACCGAACCGACUAAUGUUGAAAAAUUAGCGGAUGACUUGUGGCUAGGGGUGAAAGGCCAAUCAAACUCGGAGAUAGCUGGUUCUCCCCGAAAGCUAUUUAGGUAGCGCCUCGGACGAAUACUACUGGGGGUAGAGCACUGUUAAGGCUAGGGGGUCAUCCCGACUUACCAACCCUUUGCAAACUCCGAAUACCAGUAAGUACUAUCCGGGAGACACACGGCGGGUGCUAACGUCCGUCGUGGAGAGGGAAACAACCCAGACCGCCAGCUAAGGUCCCAAAGUAUUGCUAAGUGGGAAACGAUGUGGGAAGGCUCAGACAGCUAGGAUGUUGGCUUAGAAGCAGCCAUCAUUUAAAGAAAGCGUAAUAGCUCACUAGUCGAGUCGGCCUGCGCGGAAGAUGUAACGGGGCUAAGCAAUACACCGAAGCUGCGGCAAUGCCUUUUAGGUAUUGGGUAGGGGAGCGUUCUGUAAGCCGUUGAAGGUG